GGGGGGAAUCUUGGGCAAUGGGCGAAAGCCUGACCCAGCGACGCCGCGUGGGGGAAGAAGGCCUUCGGGUCGUAAACCCCUGUUCUGGAGGAAGAACUCCAGAUAGGUGAACAACCUAUCUGGACUGACGGUACUCCAGGAGAAAGCCACGGCUAACUGCGUGCCAGCAGCCGCGGUAAUACGCAGGUGGCGAGCGUUGCCCGGAAUCACUGGGCGUAAAGGGUGCGUAGGCGGCCGGAUAAGUCAUAGGUUAAAGCCCGGAGCUCAACUCCGGAAGGGCCUAUGAUACUGUCUGGCUUGAGGGCCGGAGAGGCUGGCGGAAUUCCCGGUGUAGGGGUGAAAUCCGUAGAUAUCGGGAGGAACACCGGUGGGGAAGCCUGCCAGCUGGACGGAUCCUGACGCUGAGGCACGAAAGCGUGGGGAGCAAACCGGAUUAGAUACCCUAGUAGUCC
rnacentral:rRNA from 1 species